rnacentral:sRNA from 1 species
UCAUUGCACACACACGAAUGUUGCAGCAAACCCCGGUUUAGGCGAACCAACACAUUGUCCCCCCCCCUUAUAACUUGCGUCCCGGACUCGGGUCGGGCCUCCCUGUUCUGCUUCGGGGGUUCCUUCCUGCGCAUUUCUCCUUCCCCCCCCCUUUUUGGGGGAGAGAGGGGGACUUGGGUCGGAGGGGGCCGCGCGAGCUCGAACGCGGAAAGGUGGGUCCGGCCCCGCCCGGCGACCACCACAUUUCGGAUUGCGCGAUGCGUGAACACUUUGGCGUGUAUGACUGAGUCCCUUUAUUACACUCUGGGAAGGAGGGCGCGCGCGCUCUCUUUCCCGAGUUGUUUUGGAACAUAACCGAAAACAACUCUCAGCAACGGAUAUCUUGGCUCUUGCAACGAUGAAGAACGCAGCGAAAUGCGAUACGUAGUGUGAAUUGCAGAAUUCCGCGAAUCAUCGAGUCUUUGAACGCAAGUUGCGCCCGAGGCUUGUCCGAGGGCAUUUCCGCUAGAGCGUCACCGCGCUCCCCCACCGAUCCGCCGGGUCUCGUACUCGGGCGGAAUACCAGUCGAGUGGAAGUGGCCGUCCCGAUGGGGGGCGGCGCGGCGCGCCUCAGAAACGCGCCCCGCCGUCGAUCGGGUCGGCUGAAAUGGAGGGAAAUCGGCCGCCGUGGUGACGGAGCCCGCGAUCAGGUGAUCCGAGCGAAAGCCCGGAACUCGAACGUGCGAGGCUCUGCGUCGCCCAGUCGGGAUUCCUUUUUUUCAAAAUACAAAUGCAGGUCUGUGUGUUCGGAAAGAGGGUAAAAAACUUGGACGGGAACAACACAUGCGAGUCACGCAUCAGA